AUUCUUAUUUAAUUUCCUUUCAUUACAGGUUAGCGGAAAAUUCGUUGAAGAUACAGAACUGAGGAGAAAUAUGCAAUUUAAGGACAUGUUUUGCAGGAUGUUGGUGUGGCAUCUGCGCCACGCAAUUGCUCUUUAUUUAUGCAAUGGCGUCAGGAGAUGGAGACGGCAUCAUAAAAUUGUCGGUUUUUUGUAUCUAUAAUCGCAAAAGUUGGCGAUUUUGUUUUGCUAUAGUGAGGCCCGUCUCCUGAUUUACGUGCGCAUCAUCGGCAGGAUGAGGGCGAAUUUUUGUAUCUGCUGGAUUGCCUGUCAGGUUUGCAAUUUUCUGUGUCUUUGAUUAAUUUAGUAUUAUAUUUUUAUUAAUUUUCCUUUCUUUAUAGGUUGUCGGGAAGUCAUUGAGAAAACGGUAUUGCGGAGAUUUAUACAAUUUGGAGACGGAUUUUAAUUCAUUUUAAUAUGAAGUUAGUUCCGGGAUAGUGAUCCUUGUGAGUGCAGUGGCAUCAGGAGAUGGAGACGGCGUUGUAAGGUUGUCAGUUUUUUGUGUUUAUAAUCGCGAAAGGUGGCGAUUUUGUUUUUCUUUUGCGGAGCCGGUCUUCUCUUGAUGGUUGUGUUGGAUCACCAGUUGGCUCUGGUUAUUGAGGUUUUAGCGUCAACUAAUGUAGGCGCUCGUCGAUCUGGAAGAUUAUCAGAGUAGCAGGAAGGAUAGAUUUUGCUGCUCCGCGCAAGGUGCCCUGAUCGGAGCAUAGGCAGCUUAUAUGGCCCGUCAAUUGCAGCGCAGCACUGCAAGUAGAUUGUAUCGGUGAUAAGGGAUACUACCAGGGACUGUGUGGCGAAGAAAGUUCAGUUGGUUUUCUCCGCAUCGUUUCGUCAGGAUCAGCUGGAGUGCGUUGUCUUAGGAUUGCUCAUCCGGAUGCGUUGAGAUAAAUUAGGCUGCGUCGAGAAGGGUGGUGACAGUGGAGGAGGUUUAUAAGCAGACAGACGUGCGCUUUUCCAUCGGAUAAAGAUAUCGUUUAUUUAGAUGUAAGAGGAUAUAGAUUUAAUUUGAUGUGUCCAUGUCAAGAUUAUUGUUUCUUAUUUGUAAGAUUAAGGCCAUUAAAAUGUCAAUUUUCUUUUCUAA